rnacentral:lncRNA from 1 species
UAAAGACUUAAGUGAGCUGAGAACAAGAUUACCCCACAUUUGUUUGUUCGGUUAAUAAUUUAAUAAUUCCUCCAAGUUAGGGCUUGGGUGUAACCCAAACCUAAAAAGGCCUACAAGUUUAACCAAGUACCCCUCCCUCAUUCAUCAUUCAUUCAUCCUCUCACUAUUCUUCUCCAUCUACUACUCUCACAUUCAUUCCCUCUCCAAUGGCAACCUCCUCUCUUACCACCUUCUCCACCCUCUUCACCUCACCAACCACCACUGCCACCUCAUCACUUUCUCUCUUCCGGCCUCAUUCCCUUUCUUCCAAAUUCUCCCUCACCCCUCUCUCCCUCAAACUCAACCACCACCGUUCCAAUCUCAAACCACUCUCUUUCUCUUCAUCACCACCUUCCUCUACCAAAAUCUCCGCCACCAUCGCCGUCGGCGACAAGCUCCCUGACUCCACCUUCUCCUACCUCGACCAAUCCGGUGAGGUCCAAACCACCACCGUCUCCGACCUCACCAAGGGCAAGAAAGCCAU